AAAUAGAGUUUCCGUGUGGGAAACAGUUUUAAAAAGGUUUUCGAAUGGUUUUUAUGAAUGAAUGAAUUAGAGUUUAAAAACAAAAGCUUCCGUGUGGGGAGCACUUUUAAAUAGGAUGUUUGUUGUAUUGUGCAUUGCAUCAUCCAGCGCCUAAGGAGUGCUUAGAGGCAUGCAUCAUUCUAAGGAUUGUUAGCUGUAUGGAAAUGCAUAUCAUGUUUUGGUUGUUGAUUGGUAAAUGUAGGUUGUGGUUGAGAUCCUAUUGUAUAGCUGGUACGCCGUGCAAAUACAAAGGAGACUCUGUCCGAGUGGACAGAUGAACUUUGUAUUUGUAGCGGGUCUGUACGUCGCGUGGGCCAGGUUGAAAAAAAAAAAAUGACACGUUUUCCGCAACUCUGUUUUUAAAAAAAGACUUUUAAAAUCGGUCCCGGGGCGUGAAAUCCUUAGACAUGCGGUCAUAUUUGGAAUAAUUAG
rnacentral:lncRNA from 1 species